UACGUAGGGGCCGAGCGUUGUCCGGAGUUACUGGGCGUAAAGCGCGCGCAGGCGGCUCGUCAAGCCUGACGUGAAAGCCCCCGGCUCAACCGGGGAGGGUCGUCAGGGACUGGCGGGCUUGAGGUCGGCAGGGGUUGGUGGAAUUCCCGGUGUAGUGGUGAAAUGCGUAGAGAUCGGGAGGAACACCCGUGGCGAAGGCGGCCAACUGGGCCGGACCUGACGCUGAGGCGCGAAGGCGUGGGGAGCGAACGGG
rnacentral:rRNA from 1 species